UGCAGUCGUACGAGUGUAGCCGGCUUGCUGGGUGGAUCAGUGGCGAACGGGUGAGUAACACGUGAGCAACCUGCCCCGGACUCUGGGAUAAGCGCUGGAAACGGCGUCUAAUACUGGAUACGAGCCUCCUCCGCAUGGUGAGGGGUUGGAAAGAUUUUUCGGUCUGGGAUGGGCUCGCGGCCUAUCAGCUUGUUGGUGAGGUAAUGGCUCACCAAGGCGUCGACGGGUAGCCGGCCUGAGAGGGUGACCGGCCACACUGGGACUGAGACACGGCCCAGACUCCUACGGGAGGCAGCAGUGGGGAAUAUUGCACAAUGGGCGGAAGCCUGAUGCAGCAACGCCGCGUGAGGGAUGACGGCCUUCGGGUUGUAAACCUCUUUUAGCAGGGAAGAAGCGAAAGUGACGGUACCUGCAGAAAAAGCGCCGGCUAACUACGUGCCAGCAGCCGCGGUAAUACGUAGGGCGCAAGCGUUAUCCGGAAUUAUUGGGCGUAAAGAGCUCGUAGGCGGUUUGUCGCGUCUGCUGUGAAAUCCCGAGGCUCAACCUCGGGUCUGCAGUGGGUACGGGCAGACUAGAGUGCGGUAGGGGAGAUUGGAAUUCCUGGUGUAGCGGUGGAAUGCGCAGAUAUCAGGAGGAACACCGAUGGCGAAGGCAGAUCUCUGGGCCGUAACUGACGCUGAGGAGCGAAAGGGUGGGGAGCAAACAGGCUUAGAUACCCUGGUAGUCCACCCCGUAAACGUUGGGAACUAGUUGUGGGGUCCAUUCCACGGAUUCCGUGACGCAGCUAACGCAUUAAGUUCCCCGCCUGGGGAGUACGGCCGCAAGGCUAAAACUCAAAGGAAUUGACGGGGACCCGCACAAGCGGCGGAGCAUGCGGAUUAAUUCGAUGCAACGCGAAGAACCUUACCAAGGCUUGACAUACACGAGAACGCUGCAGAAAUGUAGAACUCUUUGGACACUCGUGAACAGGUGGUGCAUGGUUGUCGUCAGCUCGUGUCGUGAGAUGUUGGGUUAAGUCCCGCAACGAGCGCAACCCUCGUUCUAUGUUGCCAGCACGUAAUGGUGGGAACUCAUGGGAUACUGCCGGGGUCAACUCGGAGGAAGGUGGGGAUGACGUCAAAUCAUCAUGCCCCUUAUGUCUUGGGCUUCACGCAUGCUACAAUGGCCGGUACAAAGGGCUGCAAUACCGUGAGGUGGAGCGAAUCCCAAAAAGCCGGUCCCAGUUCGGAUUGAGGUCUGCAACUCGACCUCAUGAAGUCGGAGUCGCUAGUAAUCGCAGAUCAGCAACGCUGCGGUGAAUACGUUCCCGGGUCUUGUACACACCGCCCGUCAAGUCAUGAAAGUCGGUAACACCUGAAGCC
rnacentral:rRNA from 1 species